rnacentral:ncRNA from 2 species
GGUCAUGAGCGCCAGCGCCAAGCCCCGGCUCGCUGGCCGGCAACCCUCCUGCGCGGCGGGGUGCUCCGGGUGAGGACCAGGCGACGACGGACGCCCCGUCGCCGCAAGCGCGGACU